AGUUUACAAAAAAAAAAGUAAGGGCCUGUUCUUUAAUCAACCCGAUCGCAUCUGAAAGAAAGGCGAAGAAAUUGACAAUACGCAAACCCCUCUUCCUUCUCUCUCUCUCUCUCUCUCUUUCAAGCUAUGAGUCUCUUCGGUCUGGGCAGAAACCAGAGGACAUUCCGCCCGAAAAAAAGUGCACCUUCAGGGAGCAAGGGUGCUCAGCUUAGAAAGCAUAUUGAUGCUACACUUGGUAGCGGCAACCUAAGAGAGGCAGUAAAACUUCCAACUGGAGAAGAUUUAAAUGAAUGGCUUGCUGUCAACACUGUGGAUUUCUUCAAUCAGGUCAACUUGUUGUAUGGUACCCUCACAGAGUUCUGUACUCCAGAGAAUUGUCCUACAAUGACUGCAGGCCCCAAGUAUGAGUAUAGGUGGGCCGAUGGUGUACUAAUUAAGAAACCUAUUGAGGUUUCGGCUCCAAAAUAUGUUGAAUAUCUAAUGGACUGGAUUGAAUCUCAACUUGAUGAUGAAUCCAUAUUUCCCCAAAAGCUUGGUGCACCAUUUCCCCCCCAAUUUCAGGGAGGUUGUGAAGACGAUAUUCAAAAGAUUGUUCCGUGUAUAUGCCCACAUAUAUCACUCUCAUUUCCAGAAAAUUGUGAGCCUUAAGGAGGAGGCCCAUUUAAAUACUUGCUUCAAGCAUUUCAUACUAUUUACCUGUGAAUUCGUGCUAAUUGACAAGAAGGAGCUAGCUCCGCUGCAAGAGCUUAUAGAAUCCAUCGUUGUUCCUUAUUGAACACGGUUUGCAGAUCCCAAUAGGGAAGCAUAUUUGAGUCAAAUAAUCUCUACUCAUCUUUACAGCCUGCUACGUUGCGUGUUAUAAAUACUUUUUGUGCAUAUGCUGUGUGCCUUAGACUGGAAAUGUUUAUUGGCUGCUAAUUUAUUUCCAUCUAAGAUAGUGUGGAAAGAAAACGGGCAGAAGUUGCUCUUUGUACAAGAGGCUGAAGCGGAAAUGGCUGAAGUCGAUCAGCUCAAGUUUUAGCUAGCUGGUUUUACUUUAUAGAAACAUAAAUUGAGUGUUGUAUUUGUAUUUGUUGGUUUUACGUCAAAAGCUAGUGGCUCGUUAAAUUUAGUUUCAAACAGAUUCAGGAAUAAAUUAUGAAUUGUUUGAAGCAAUGUGCUCCUUAAAUUUCAAUUCUAUACAACUAAGGAAAUAUUUUAAUUUA